GUGGGGAAUCUUGCGCAAUGGGCGAAAGCCUGACGCAGCCAUGCCGCGUGAAUGAUGAAGGUCUUAGGAUUGUAAAAUUCUUUCACCGGGGACGAUAAUGACGGUACCCGGAGAAGAAGCUCCGGCUAACUUCGUGCCAGCAGCCGCGGUAAUACGAAGGGGGCUAGCGUUGCUCUGAAUUACUGGGCGUAAAGGGCGCGUAGGCGGACAGCUUAGUCAGAGGUGAAAAGCCAGGGCUCAACCUUGGAAUUACCUUUGAUACUGGCUGUCUUGAGUAUGGGAGAGGUGAGUGGAACUCCGAGUGUAGAGGUGAAAUUCGUAGAUAUUCGGAAGAACACCAGUGGCGAAGGCGACUCACUGGCCCAAUACUGACGCUGAGGCGCGAAAGCGUGGGGAGCGAACAGGAUUAGAAACCCUGGUAGUCC
rnacentral:rRNA from 1 species